GGAGUUAGCCGGUGCUUCUUCUGUGAGUGAUGUCCUUCCUGCCGGCUAUUAACCCGCAGGCCUUCUUCCUCACUGAAAGUGCUUUACAACCCGAAGGCCUUCUUCACACACGCGGCAUGGCUGGAUCAGGGUUGCCCCCAUUGUCCAAUAUUCCCCACUGCUGCCUCCCGUAGGAGUCUGGGCCGUGUCUCAGUCCCAGUGUGGCUGAUCAUCCUCUCAGACCAGCUACGGAUCGUCGCCUUGGUGAGCCGUUACCUCACCAACCAGCUAAUCCGACAUAGGCUCAUCCGAUAGCGCGAGGCCCGAAGGUCCCCCGCUUUCCCCCGUAGGGCGUAUGCGGUAUUAGCCUGGGUUUCCCCAGGUUAUCCCCCACUACCGGGCAGAUUCCUAUGCAUUACUCACCCGUCCGCCGCUCGCCACCAGGGAGCAAGCUCCCCGUGCUGCCGCUCGACUUGCAUGUGUUAGGCCUGCCGCCAGCGUUCAAUCUGAGCCAUAAUCAAACUUUCNGA
rnacentral:rRNA from 1 species